rnacentral:rRNA from 1 species
AGACGGAGGGGGCUAGCGUUGUUCGGAAUUACUGGGCGUAAAGCGCGCGUAGGCGGUCCGUUUAGUUAGGCGUGAAAGCCCUGGGCUCAACCCGGGAACUGCGUUUAAAACUGGCGGACUAGAGUCCGGGAGAGGGUGGCGGAAUUCCCAGUGUAGAGGUGAAAUUCGUAGAUAUUGGGAAGAACACCAGUGGCGAAGGCGGCCACCUGGCCCGGUACUGACGCUGAGGUGCGAAAGCGUGGGGAGCAAACAGGAUUAGAAACCCCGGUAGUCC